UUUAGGGAUAGAAGGCCUUGGUGGGU
rnacentral:piRNA from 1 species